rnacentral:rRNA from 1 species
GAUGAACGCUAGCGGCAGGCCUAACACAUGCAAGUCGAGGGAUAAGCCUUCGGGCUAAGACCGGCGCACGGGUGCGUAACGCGUAUACAAUCUGCCUUUUAUCCGGGGGAUAGCCCGAAGAAAUUUGGAUUAAUACCCUAUGGUAUAGAGCACGGCAUCGGGCACUUUUUUAAGCUACGGCGGUAAAAGGUGAGUAUGCGUUCUAUUAGCUAGUUGGAGAGGUAACGGCUCCCCAAGGCGACGAUAGAUAGGGGUUCUGAGAGGGAUGUCCCCCACACUGGUACUGAGAUACGGACCAGACUCCUACGGGAGGCAGCAGUGAGGAAUAUUGGACAAUGGUCGGAAGACUGAUCCAGCCAUGCCGCGUGCAGGAGGACGGCCUUAUGGGUUGUAAACUGCUUUUGUAAGGGAAGAAUAAGGAGUACGUGUACUUUGAUGACGGUACCUUACGAAUAAGCAUCGGCUAACUCCGUG